CAUUAAUACACUGAUCUGACCUAGUAAACAUGGUAAAAUGCCUGUUUCUGAUUUUAAUUCUGACUCCAGGUGUGAUGACUGCAGACCAGAUUAGGCCAAAUAAAGAAACUAGUGUCAUAAAGAAGGAAGAUGAGAUUGUAUCCCUCAGCUGCUCAUAUGAUACAAGCAGCAGAUAUGUUAGACUUUACUGGUACAGACAGUAUCCUAAAGGAGAACCUCAGUAUUUAAUGUGGAAAGAGGCUCGGGAUUGGAGUAGCACUGGGAAGCCAGCUGAUCCUCGUUUUCAGUCGACUACAUCAGAAACAUCCACUGAACUCACCAUUACUAGUGUAACUCUGUCAGAUUCCGCUCUCUAUUAUUGUGCUCUAAGAGUUGGAGCCCAGUGA